rnacentral:lncRNA from 1 species
AUUCUGUGAUGCACGGGAAGCCUGUGGUCAUUUAAGAAGUCAGCUGGUAUCAUGGCUGAAAGAAUCUGCAUGUGGAGAGAAGUAAUAGAGGCUGCUUCAUCUCAGUGAACCCACUGCUAACUCCUGAUCUUCUUUGUUCCGAGUUGGCACAUGGUAUGAAACAGUGCCUCACUCCUGUGAACCAGGGCAGCUCCAGAGUGACGUGAAUAAAGCAGACCAUCUUGAAUACUGCACUCACACCGCAGAGGAAGCAGUGCUACAAGGGUACCAGCUACCCAUCCCUUCCACGCAGAGGACAGGGAGCAGGUAAGCCCCAGCAUGUGAGACCCAGGGAGCAAUGAGCUCUCUGUUUUAAGGCUGUGUCUAUAUACACAACUAGUCAGAGAACAGGUUAUAACACAAUGGUUAAAAUGUGUGUGUGUGUGUGUGUGUGUGUGUGUGUGUGUGUGUAUACGUGUGUGCUCUCAGACAGAUAGGUUAAGGCAGUGAGGACUGAGGCUGGGAGCUAAAACUAUGUUCAUCUUUAUGCUGACCGAUCUCUCCCGCUGGGCCAAGACUGUGGAGCCCAACUGCAGACAGGUUCUUAGGUAGGCUCACAGGCUGGGGUCUCCAGGAUGGGAUGUGGAGUGCAUGGUUUUCUUGGGAACUUGCAACUGUGGAAGGAGGGGUGAGGUCUGAGGAG